rnacentral:rRNA from 1 species
CACGGGGGGAGCAAGCGUUGUUCGGAAUCACUGGGCGUAAAGGGCGUGUAGGCGGUCAGGUAAGUGAGAUGUGAAAUGCCCCGGCUCACCCGGGGCACCGGCAUCUCAUACUGCUUGGCUUGAGUACGGGAGAGGAUGUGGGAAUUCCCGGGUGUAGCGGUGAAAUGCGCAGAUAUCGGGAGGAACACCAAUGGCGAAGGCAGCUCGCUGGGACGGUACUGACGCUGAGGCGCGAAAGCGUGGGGAGCAAACAGG